rnacentral:rRNA from 1 species
GUGGAUUAGAUACCCUGGUAGUCCACGCCCUAAACGAUGUCUACUAGUUGUCGGGUUUUAAUUAACUUGGUAACGCAGCUAACGCGUGAAGUAGACCGCCUGGGGAGUACGGUCGCAAGAUUAAAACUCAAAGGAAUUGACGGGGACCCGCACAAGCGGUGGAUGAUGUGGAUUAAUUCGAUGCAACGCGAAAAACCUUACCUACCCUUGACAUGUACGGAAGCCACGAGAGAUCGAGGUGUGCUCGAAAGAGAGCCGUAACACAGGUGCUGCACGGCCGUCGCCAACU